rnacentral:rRNA from 1 species
AGCGAACGUUAGCGGCGGGCUUAACACAUGCAAGUCGAGCGAGAAAGUGGCUUCGGCCAUCAGUAAAGCGGCGGACGGGUGAGUAACACGUAGGUAAUCUUCCCUUGAGCGGGGGACAACGAGCCGAAAGGCUCGCUAAUACCGCAUAAGUUCCCAGGGUCCUUGGACCUUGGGAGGAAAGCUAGGUAGCAAUAUCCGGCACUCGAGGAGGAGCCUGCGUAGCAUCAGCUAGUUGGUGGGGUAAUGGCCUACCAAGGCGAAGACGCUUAGCUGGUCUGAGAGGAUGAUCAGCCACACUGAAACUGAGACACGGUUCAGACUCCUACGGGAGGCAGCAGGUGGGGAAUAUUGGACAAUGGGCGCAAGCCUGAUCCAGCCACGCCGCGUGAGUGAUGAAGGCCUU